rnacentral:rRNA from 1 species
UACGUAGGGGCCGAGCGUUGUCCGGAGUUAUUGGGCGUAAAGCGCGCGCAGGCGGCCUCGCGCGCCCGACGUGAAAGCCCCCCGGCUUAACCGGGGAGGGUCGUUGGGGACGGCGGGGCUUGAGGGCGGGAGAGGUCGGUGGAAUUCCUGGUGUAGCGGUGAAAUGCGUAGAUAUCUGGAGGAACACCGGUGGCGAAGGCGGCAUCCUGGACCAACACUGACGCUGAGGAGCGAAAGCCAGGGGGAGCAAACGGG